ACAAGGAACUGUGCCCGAAUACCUAAGGACCACUUUGAUAGAGUGGCUAAUGGGGGUUAAAGUCCCCCCGGUUCCUA
rnacentral:tRNA from 1 species